CGGAAAUUCUGCCUCCGAGAUGAUUAAGCAAAUGCUUGUUUUUGCCGGUAGUGAAAAGGAGAAUUUUGCUUGCUAUUCGUCAAAGCUUUUCAGAGAGACUAUGAAUCCUCCAGUACUAGUGUUUGUUCAAAGCAAAGAAAGAGCCAAGGAACUUUACAAGGAAUUAGCAUUUGAUGACAUAAAAUUUGAUGUUAUUCAUGCAGACAUUUCCCAGCAGCAGCGAGAAGAUGCAGUUGAUAACUUCAGAUCGGGCAAGACAUGGGUUCUGAUAUAGCAACUGAUGUUGUUUCUCGGGGUAUGGAUUUUAAGGGGAUCAACUGUGUGAUCAACUAUGAUUUUCCUGAAUCAGCUGCAGCAUAUAUUCAUAGAAUUGGUCCUAAAGGACUGUUUUGUAUUCUCCUACUCAUGUGAGGUCUACUACAAUCAUGGAUUUGUUUUGCAUUCUCCUACUCAUAUCUUGCACAAAGACUGAAAUAAUAAUAUCUGGAGAUACUUUAGGAGUUUGACUCAAAUAUGUGGUUCCUCUCAACCCAGAUAUGAUAUAUGAUAGCUAUGAAAGAUAGUUUCUCAA